GCGAGCUCUGACAAAGAUAACGGUCAUUCUUCAUUGAGAUCAGAAAUGAAGGUUGGUUCCUAACCGAGACUGACGGUAGCAACACUGCAGGACCCCGAUUCUUAGUUGGUAUUGGAUGAAGAGCUCAUAAUAAGAUCUCUGGGCCUAUGAGUAGCGAGUUGCAAAAAUUUAGACCUUACCGAACGAUCAAUCACCAUGUCUGUAUUUUCUUUUCGUCGAGUU
rnacentral:misc_RNA from 1 species